AUACGUAUGUCGCAAGCGUUAUCCGGAUUUAUUGGGCGUAAAGCGCGUCUAGGCGGCUUAGUAAGUCUGAUGUGAAAAUGCGGGGCUCAACCCCGUAUUGCGUUGGAAACUGCUAAACUAGAGUACUGGAGAGGUAGGCGGAACUACAAGUGUAGAGGUGAAAUUCGUAGAUAUUUGUAGGAAUGCCGAUGGGGAAGCCAGCCUACUGGACAGCUACUGACGCUAAAGCGCGAAAGCGUGGGUAGCAAACAGGAUUAGAUACCCUGGUAGUCCACGCCGUAAACGAUGAUUACUAGGUGUUGGGGGUCGAACCUCAGCGCCCAAGCUAACGCGAUAAGUAAUCCGCCUGGGGAGUACGUACGCAAGUAUGAAACUCAAAGGAAUUGACGGGG
rnacentral:rRNA from 1 species